rnacentral:hammerhead_ribozyme from 1 species
GCACUGCUAAGGUGUCCCAUAAUAGGACGAAACAGCUGUCCAGUGC